CACACCACCAUGCCUGGCUAAUGCUUCUAUUUCUAUAAAUGAAGAUGUGAGGCCGUGUAAGCUCUAAGAGAGCAGGGAUCUUGUUUCUUGGUCACCGUGAUAUUUCAGCUGCUGACCCAGUGCUCAAAAUAUGCUUGUUGGAAUUUAAAGGCAACCAAUCAAAAUGCAUUUAGGCUUCAAAGGAAAAAGUUCUCCAUAAAUACACCAGAAUUUCAUUCUAACACGAUUCAUUCAUCCAAAGAGCAAAGCUACACAAGACAUUUGGAUAUCUCCUUCUCCUCCCCCUUAUCUAUAAAUAUGUAAGAAAGAAAACAUGUUUAAAAUACAGUAUUUCUUUUGAUCACAGAUUAGACUUACAGAACAGAGAUGCCCUAUAAAUUGAUCUUUAAGAGAUAUUACAAAGCUUCUAAUCUCAUU